GAUGAACGCUGACAGAAUGCUUAACACAUGCAAGUCGAUGGGGAAGUGGUGCUUGCACCAUGGCAACCAUGGCGGACGGGUGAGUAACGCGUAAGGGACUUACCUGCAGGACUGGGAUAACAGGGGGAAACUCCUGACAAGACCGGAUAAUGUCAUGGAGCUGCAUGGCUUUAUGAUGAAAGGAGACGCCUGCGGAGAGCCUUGCGUCCUAUUAGCUAGUUGGUGAGGUAAUGGCUCACCAAGGCGAAGAUAGGUAUCCGGCCUGAGAGGGUGGACGGCCACAAGGGGACUGAGAUACGGCCCUUACUCCUACGGGAGGCAGCAGUGGGGAAUAUUGGACAAUGGGGGCAACCCUGAUCCAGCAAUUCUGUGUGCACGAAGAAGGUUUUCGGAUUGUAAAGUGCUUUCAGCAGGGAAGAAGUAAGUGACGGUACCUGCAGAAGAAGCGACGGCUAAAUACGUG
rnacentral:rRNA from 1 species